rnacentral:rRNA from 1 species
UGCCUUGUUGUUGUUGUUGUUGUUGUUGUUGUGUAUCAACAACAGCAGCAGCAGCAGCAGAAAAAUGGCUAGCUCGAAGCAAGAACGAGUCUCUUUUCUCGAUCGACGACCUCAGAGCAGAGCAGGCAAGACAAA